CGGAGUUAGCGACAGGGAGGGAUGCGCGCCUGGGUGUAGUUGUGGGGGAGGAAGUGGCUAGCUCAGGGCUUCAGGGGACAGACAGGGAGAGAUGACUGAGUUAGAUGAGACGAGGGGGCGGGCUGGGGGUGCGAGAAGGAAGCUUGGCAAGGAGACUAGGUCUAGGGGGACCACAGUGGGGCAGGCUGCAUGGAAAAUAUCCGCAGGGUCCCCCAGGCAGAACAGCCACGCUCCAGGCCAGGCUGUCCCUACUGCCUGGUGGAGGGGGAACUUGACCUCUGGGAGGGCGCCGCUCUUGCAUAGCUGAGCGAGCCCGGGUGCGCUGGUCUGUGUGGAAGGAGGAAGGCAGGGAGAGGUAGAAGGGGUGGAGGAGUCAGGAGGAAUAGGCCGCAGCAGCCCUGGAAAUGAUCAGGAAGGCAGGCAGUGGGUGCAGGGCUGCAGGAGGGCCGGGAGGGCUAAUCUUCAACUUGUCCAUGCCAGCAGCCCCUUUUUUUCCAGACCAAGGGCUGUGAACCCGCCUGGGGAUGAGGCCUGGUCUUGUGGAACUGAACUUAGCUCGACGGGGCUGACCGCUCUGGCCCAGGGUGGUAUGUAAUUUUCGCUCGGCCUGGGACGGGGCCCAGGCCGGGCCCAGCCUGGUGGAGCGUCCAGGUCUGGGUGCGAAGCCAGGCCCCUGGGCGGAGGUGAGGGGUGGUCUGAGGAGUGAUGUGGAGUUAAGGCGCCAUCCUCACCGGUGACUGGUGCGGCACCUAGCAUGUUUGACAGGCGGGGACUGCGAGGCACGCUGCUCGGGUGUUGGGGACAACAUUGACCAACGCUUUAUUUUCCAGGUGGCAGUGCUCCUUUUGGACUUUUCUCUAGGUUUGGCGCUAAACUCUUCUUGUGAGCUCACUCCACCCCUUCUUCCUCCCUUUAACUUAUCCAUUCACUUAAAACAUUACCUGGUCAUCUGGUAAGCCCGGGACAGUAAGCCGAGUGGCUGUUGGAGUCGGUAUUGUUGGUAAUGGUGGAGGAAGAGAGGCCUUCCCGCUGAGGCUGGGGUGGGGCGGAUCGGUGUUGCUUGCCUGCAGAGAGGGUGGGGAGUGAAUGUGCACCCUUGGGUGGGCCUGCAGCCAUCCAGCUGAAAGUUACAAAAAUGCUUCAUGGACCGUGGUUUGUUACUAUAGUGUUCCUCAUGGCGAGCAGAUGGAACCGGGAGACAUGGAGUCCCUGGCCAGUGUGAGUCCUAGCAUUGCAGGAGGGGAGACCCUGGAGGAGAGAGCCCGCCUCAAUUGAUGCCUGCAGAUUGAAUUUCCAGAGGCUUAGGAGGAGGAAGUUCUCCAAUGUUCUGUUUCCAGGCCUUGCUCAGGAAGCCCUGUAUUCAGGAGGCUACCAUUUAAAGUUUGCAGAUGAGCUUAUGGGGGGCAAUCUUAAAAAGUCCACAGCAGAUGCAUCCGGCUCGAGGGGCCAUCAGCUUUGAAUAAAUGCUUGUUCCAGAGCCCAUGAAUGCCAGCAGGCACCCCUCCUUUCCUGGGGUAAAGGUUUUCAGAUGCUGCAUCUUCUAAAUUGAGCCUCCGGUCAUACUAGUUUUGUGCUUGGAACCUUGCUUCAAGAAGAUCCCUAAGCUGUAGAACAUUUUAACGUUGAUGCCACAACGCAGAUUGAUGCCUUGUAGAUGGAGCUUGCAGAUGGAGCCCCGUGACCUCUCACCUACCCACCUGUUUGCCUGCCUUCUUGUGCGUUUCUCGGAGAAGUUCUUAGCCUGAUGAAAUAACUUGGGGCGUUGAAGAGCUGUUUAAUUUUAAAUGCCUUAGACUGGGGAUAUAUUAGAGGAAGCAGAUUGUCAAAUUAAGGGUGUCAUUGUGUUGUGCUAAACGCUGGGAGGGUACAAGUUGGUCAUUCCUAAAUCUGUGUGUGAGAAAUGGCAGGUCUAGUUUGGGCAUUGUGAUUGCAUUGCAGAUUACUAGGAGAAGGGAAUGGUGGGUACACCGGUAGUGCUCUUUUGUUCUUGCUUCGUUUUUUUAAACUUGAACUUUACUUCGUUAGAUUUCAUAAUACUUUCUUGGCAUUCUAGUAAGAGGACCCUGAGGUGGGAGUUGUGGGGGACGGGGAGAAGGGGACAGCUUGGCACCGGUCCCGUGGGCGUUGCAGUGUGGGGGAUGGGGGUAUGCAGCUUGGCACUGGUACUGGGAGGGAUGAGGGUGAAGAAGGGGAGAGGGUUGGUUAGAGAUACAGUGUGGGUGGUGGGGGUGGUAGGAAAUGCAGGUUGAAGGGAAUUCUCUGGGGCUUUGGGGAAUUUAGUGCGUGGGUGAGCCAAGAAAAUACUAAUUAAUAAUAGUAAGUUGUUAGUGUUGGUUAAGUUGUUGCUUGGAAGUGAGAAGUUGCUUAGAAACUUUCCAAAGUGCUUAGAACUUUAAGUGCAAACAGACAAACUAACAAACAAAAAUUGUUUUGCUUUGCUACAAGGUGGGGAAGACUGAAGAAGUGUUAACUGAAAACAGGUGACACAGAGUCACCAGUUUUCCGAGAACCAAAGGGAGGGGUGUGUGAUGCCAUCUCACAGGCAGGGGAAAUGUCUUUACCAGCUUCCUCCUGGUGGCCAAGACAGCCUGUUUCAGAGGGUUGUUUUGUUUGGGGUGUGGGUGUUAUCAAGUGAAUUAGUCACUUGAAAGAUGGGCGUCAGACUUGCAUACGCAGCAGAUCAGCAUCCUUCGCUGCCCCUUAGCAACUUAGGUGGUUGAUUUGAAACUGUGAAGGUGUGAUUUUUUCAGGAGCUGGAAGUCUUAGAAAAGCCUUGUAAAUGCCUAUAUUGUGGGCUUUUAACGUAUUUAAGGGACCACUUAAGACGAGAUUAGAUGGGCUCUUCUGGAUUUGUUCCUCAUUUGUCACAGGUGUCUUGUGAUUGAAAAUCAUGAGCGAAGUGAAAUUGCAUUGAAUUUCAAGGGAAUUUAGUAUGUAAAUCGUGCCUUAGAAACACAUCUGUUGUCUUUUCUGUGUUUGGUCGAUAUUAAUAAUGGCAAAAUUUUUGCCUAUCUAGUAUCUUCAAAUUGUAGUCUUUGUAACAACCAAAUAACCUUUUGUGGUCACUGUAAAAUUAAUAUUUGGUAGACAGAAUCCAUGUACCUUUGCUAAGGUUAGAAUGAAUAAUUUAUUGUAUUUUUAAUUUGAAUGUUUGUGCUUUUUAAAUGAGCCAAGACUAGAGGGGAAACUAUCACCUAAAAUCAGUUUGGAAAACAAGACCUAAAAAGGGAAGGGGAUGGGGAUUGUGGGGAGAGAGUGGGCGAGGUGCCUUUACUACAUGUGUGAUCUGAAAACCCUGCUUGGUUCUGAGCUGCGUCUAUUGAAUUGGUAAAGUAAUACCAAUGGCUUUUUAUCAUUUCCUUCUUCCCUUUAAGUUUCACUUGAAAUUUUAAAAAUCAUGGUUAUUUUUAUCGUUGGGAUCUUUCUGUCUUCUGGGUUCCAUUUUUUAAAUGUUUAAAAAUAUGUUGACAUGGUAGUUCAGUUCUUAACCAAUGACUUGGGGAUGAUGCAAACAAUUACUGUCGUUGGGAUUUAGAGUGUAUUAGUCACGCAUGUAUGGGGAAGUAGUCUCGGGUAUGCUGUUGUGAAAUUGAAACUGUAAAAGUAGAUGGUUGAAAGUACUGGUAUGUUGCUCUGUAUGGUAAGAACUAAUUCUGUUACGUCAUGUACAUAAUUACUAAUCACUUUUCUUCCCCUUUACAGCACAAAUAAAGUUUGAGUUCUAAACUCAUUAGAAUUGUUGUAUUGCUAUGUUACAUUUCUCGACCCCUAUCACAUUGCCUUCAUAACGACUUUGGAUGUAUCUUCAUAUUGUAGAUUUAGGUCUAGAUUUGCUAGCUCCAAGUAAUUAAGGCCAUGUAGGAGAGCAUGGUAACCACAGAUAGAACUGGUAUUAUCCCAAGUGGUCUGCAGACUGCUGAGUGGGGAUGGGAUCUGCUCUCUGUUGAGAGUUGGUAAUCAUUGGUUUGAAAUGUGAUGAAACCACUCAAGCCAAUGAAGGUGGGUGUGUAGGUGGGGAGUACUUUGCCAUAAUAUUUUAAAACAUUACCUGGUUAGAGUUCUAAGUGGUACUUAUUUUUGUUUGGUUAGGGGAAAGCCUGAAUAAAAACAGAAAUGGACACAUAAUAUGCAUAUUCCAUAGUCUUUGGGAGGCUGGAAUGUGCCUGGGAUUUGGGUCUAAGUGUAUGCGUAAUUCUUACCUCACUAAAGAAUUUGCCUUGUUUUUUUCCUUUUGGUGAGUGACUAAAACGUCUGGGCUUCCCUGUGUGCGUGCUACAGUAAGCAAGCAGAGGCUGUGCAAAGGUGUGAGCAGGAUCACGUGGAAUCUGGAGGAUACAUCUUGGCUUGCAAACUGCCUCUGUCUCCUGGGUGGGACUGUUCUGUCCUUGCACUGCUGUUCUGUGUUACCUCUUGGGGUGUAAGGUUUUGCUUACAGGAGACAAACUUUGGGCGUAGAAUGGAAGCCACUGCCAGCCUCUGUGCUGAGAAGGAAGGUGCUUGUUUCAAAGGGAGCAGCAAGGGAGGCUUGUUCUACUCACCUGGGCCUGUUUGCCUGAGAAGGGGAGAUAAGGGCUGAACUGGGACUAGCCAGGGGGACCAACACAAAUGGUGGGGGAUCAUGACCUGAAGGAUUCUUUCCUUCCCAUGAGCUGCAGGGCUGGUUGCCGUCCUUGCAACUGUGUCUUAUUUGCCUGUGCCGUUAUAUCUUGGUGACCCCUCCACGUGUACACUACUGACAAACGGGUGGAGUGCUGGGGAGAAGUCACUGUGCCGCCCACCUAGUAAACCUUCUGUCUGUGCUCAUGGCAUCUCCAAGAUGGGGCACUGCUGUGUGCAGAAUCCAGGGUCCUCUUUCUGCUUGCAACUCCUUUCCCUGGAUGCCCCAGAAACAAUCCAGGCCUCCUUUCCUAUCUUACCCCUUUGCUUUGCUUUUUACCCCAGCACCUCUAUAACCGCCUUCUCUUCUUUUCAGAACUCCUUGUUUCUCGUCCUGUUUUUUAUGAUUACAAAACUCUUGCUUCCACCCUGGAAGAUAACUGCUAUAGAUGCCUGUAUGUAAAUGGUGCUGUCUCCAGCAACUGGCAUGCUGAAGAAGAAUUGAUUCACGGGGUAUAAAUGUUGGGGAUUGGAAGUGGGGAUGAAAUGGCACUUGUUGAUACAGGAGCAGAGAGGUGAGGCCGACUGCUGAAGACAGCUCGCCACCCUCCUUGCCUCCACUCCAAUCCAGGGGCUGGGGCCACAUUCUUUGCCUUCAUUUAUCCUCAGAUCAGGUGAGAUCGACAGGAGGUGUUGAUGGCAGUGCCAGCAAUUAUUGCUAAUCCGUUUGCAUCCUUAUGCAUAGAUCUGAAUUCAGACUUUGUGAAUUUCCAGAGGUGUGGGUAAUAUAAUAGAAUUCAGUGAGUGGGCAUGGCUGAUCUUGUGCAAAUUAAAAGUUAUGGGGCAUAAGAAUAGCAAAAGUUGAACUUCUUUUAAAAAGGAAAGUACCCUGAGAGCCAGUAUUGGUUGAGGCUCUUCAGUAUGCCCAGGUUGGCAGCACUGAGAACCGCAGGAACGGCCUGUUGUUACAAAAAGGAGAUUGACUCAGCUGCCCUUGGUGCAUCUGACUGACUAUGACUGCUGAGAGAUUCCAAGGACCCUUAAUGCCAGGGCUAACCUCUCCAUGUGCAGUGAGACCUCUGGAGGAAGUGUCAUCCUCUGGCUUUGUGUGGUACUCAUUAUGGUGCAGUGCGGGCAUGAAAUGAAGACACCCAAAUAGGCUUACAGAUACGAUAUGUUUUAAAUGUUCGUAUUUAACAAAAACAUACUGACACUGUUUGGAAAUGGCAACAGGAAGAUAGCAAAAUGAAUACUAACAUUACGAAAAGAUGAACAGGUACAUGUUCCAAGGCAGGUGGCUGUGAACUUCCUCUGAGUGAAGGCAUCCCCUCCAGCACCUUUCAGCCUGCUAGUUAGGACGACCCGCCGCCACCCUCCAGGACCUCCAGCCCUGCACUGCCUUUCCUCUCUUUUAAAUAAUUCUUCAUUGAGUUCUAAUAUGUAAAAAAAAAAAGUUUACUGUAAAGUUUGCAAAUAAGGAAAUUUUUUUUAAAAGUCCUCAGUAAUCUUACCAGUAACAAUUGUUAUGGGCACAUUUGCUUUUGGAAGAUUUCUUUUGUAUGCAUGGGAUAAGUACAUUUUUAAACAAAAAUGGGAUUAUGCCAUAAAUUCUAUUUUGUGACUUUAAUAUAUAGUGAACACCUUUUUUAAUGAUGACAGGAUGUUCCCUUGCAUGGCUGUAUCAAUUUAAACAAUCUUGUUUCAAUGGGCAUACAGGGUAUUUUCUAGUUUUUUUUUCCUCUUAGAAAAUAAUACUUGCGAUGACUUUCCUUGUAGCUCAGACUUUUUCACGUCUGUUGUUAUCUCUUUGGGAAUGCUGAAUACAUACAUUUCGAGAAGGAAAUGACUGUUAAACUCUUAAGACUUCAGGUUCAUAUUGCUAAACUGCCCAGCAGGGAGGGAUUUUUUCAAUUAGUGUUCUCACUGGUGAGGCAAACCUGAUGCCUUCCCCUCUUCCUCAGAACCGGCUUUAUCACAUUGAAAACCUUUGCUCCUCCGACGGAUCGAGUCUGCUUUCCCUCUGGAUGUGAGCAUUGCUUUGUCUGCUGGUGACUGAACAUCUCUACCUUGUGUCAAUUGGCCAUUUGUGGUGUGUGUGUGUGUGCGUGUGUGUGUGUGUGUGUGUGUAUGAUUUUCUAAUUCCUAGUCAUUUUUCUAUUGAUUGUUUUGCAAAAGCCAUUUACAUCUUAAGGAUAUUGAUAAUCUUUUGUUAUAUUUGAUGCAAAUAUUUUUUUCCAGUUUAUAGGUUGCCUUUUAAUUUUGUGUUUCAGGUAGAUAAAAGUUAAACGAUUUUCUUAGGUUAGUUUAUCACUGUGGUUUCUGAACUUGUUAUGUGUAGAUCUUUUCCACCCCAAGAGUACAUAAAUAUUAAUCCAUACUUUCUUAUGGAACUUGUAUGGUUUCGUUUUUUACAUUUAAACCUUCUUCCCCGUGGUGUGUGUUGUGGAAUCUGUGUUUGUGUGAGGAGGGGCAUGGUGCUCUCAGAACCCACCUCCUGUGGCCAGAGAGCCCUGUCCUGUGAGGGUGGUUGUCACAGUGGCAGGGUUCAAUUCAGAAGACCUUGAGGGCAGGCUGAUGUUUCCUGAAUGGGCCCCUGGUUGUUGCUUGUCCCUGACUCUCCAUUUCCCCAUCUGAGUGGAUUUGGACCUAAUAGGGCACUGGAGCUGGUUCGAAUCCUGACUGGACUACUUGGCAACUUUAUGUCUGGGAGCAAGUUACUUAACCUCCCCAAGCCUGUGUCUGUGAAAUGCGGGUAAAUGAAUGUAGAUGUUUGGCAGCAGCUACUCCUUGUUGAGCUCUCACAGUGAACUCUCCUGCCUCUGCCCUCCUUCCCCGCCUCCCCUGGUGCCUAGCGUCAGGUCUAGCCACUUCCUCCUGGGCCCCUCUCCCUUUUCUGUGGCUGGCUGCCUGCCCGCCUGGCGCUGGACCUUUCAUGUAACGGGAAUCAGCAUGUAUAUUCUGGUCUGGUCUGUUUCUACACUUAAUUUUGUUUCCAGUAGUAUUUCCCUGUACCGGCAGAGUUCACAAACACAUUUGAAGAGGCUUUUUCUCAGGAUUCUUAACCUUCCCAAAGGAAGUCCCAUGGAUGGGUUUCUAGAAGUCUAUAAAUGCUCUGAAAUUGUAUUUUUCUGUGGAAAGCAUAACUUUCAUCUGCUUGUUCGUGCUCAAAAAAGAUCAUGAAUGAAUGAUUGCAUGAUUUUAUGCCAUUGUGCUUAUACUAAAGGAUAUGUAGCCCAUCUCUUGAGCUGUUAAACUGUUUUGACUACUUUAAAUCGUGCAGCUGUGAGCAUCUCUGUAAAUUUAGUGUACACAUGUAUCCCCUGGAGUGGCAUUGCCUCGGCAGUGAGCACUUAUGGUUUUAUAACUCUCUUCACAGACUCAAAUGACUCCAGAAAGCUACACUUCCUGUUGUGAGUAUAUGAUAUCCAUUUCCCUACAUAGCCACUAACAUCAGGUUUUUACAAUUUUAUUUAUUUCUUGCUACUUUAAGAAAUUUUUGUGGUGAAAUACAUAUAAUAGAAGUUGACUAUCUGAAUCAUUUUUAAGUAUACAUUCAGUAGUGUUAAGUAUGUCGCCAUUGUUGUACAACCAAUCUCCAGAACUUUUUCAUCUUGCAAAACAAACUCUGUACCCAUUAAAUAACAUUAAACAUUCCAUUCCCUCCAGCCUCAGCAACCCCAUUCUACUUUCUGUUUCUGUGAGUUUGACUAUUCCAAGCACUUCAUAUCAGUUAAAUCAUGAAGUAUUUGUCUGUCUGUGACUGGCUUAUUUCUCUGAGCACAGUGUCCUCGAGAUGCGUCUAUGUUGUAGCAUAUGUCAGAAUUUCCUUCCUUUUUAAAAGAUCCAAAUAAUAUUCUUAUUUUAUAUCUUUUUUUUAUCCAUUCAUCCAUUAGUGGACACUUGGGUUGCUUUUGGCUAUUGUAAAUAAUGGUGCUAUGUACAAAUAUCUAUAUUAUUGUAUUUACAAGUAUAAUGCUGUAAUGUACACACAUCUUUUUGAGAUCCUACCUUCAGUUCUUUUGAGUAUAUAGCCAGAAGUGGUAUUACUAAAUCUUACGAUAUUUCUAUUUUUAAUUUAUUGAGGAACCACUGUAGUUUUUCAUAGCAACUGCACCAUUUUACGUUCUCACCAAGAGUGCACAAGGGUUCCGAGGUUCCCACAUCCUCCCCAACACUUGUUAUUUUCUGCUUUUUUUAGAUUGCAGCCAUCAUAGUGGGUGUGAGGUGACAUUUCAUUGUGGUUUUGAUUUGCAUUUCCCUAAUGAGGAGUGAUGCUGAGCAUCUUUUCAUAUGCUUACUGGUCAUUUGUAUGUUGUCUUUGGAAAAAUGUCUAUUCAAGUCCUUUGACUAUUUUAAAAAUUGGGUUAUUAGAGUUAUCGUUGUUGUUGACUUGUAGGAGUUUCUUUCUAUAUUCUGGAUAUUAAUCCCCUAUCAGAUAUAUGAUUUGCAAAUAUCUUCUCUUAUUCCAUAAGGUUACUUUUUCACUUUGUUGAUUGUGUUCUUUGAUGUAUAGAAGUUUUUAGUUUUGAAAUAGUCUAAUUUAUCUGUUUUUACUUUUGUGGUCUGUGCUUUUGGUGUCAUAUCCAAGAAAUCCUUGCCAAAUCCAACGUUAUAAGGUACUUUUAAGGUAUUUUAGUUGUCUUAGUCUAUAUUUCUGUACUCACCUUUCUUUAUCCACUCAUCAGUUGAUGGGCAUGUAGGUUGGUUCCAUAUCUUUGCAAUUCUGAAUUGUGCUAUGAUCAGGUGUCUUUUUAGUAUAAUGAUUUACUCUCCUUUGGGUAGAUACCCAGUAGUGGGAUUGCUGGAUCGAAUGGUUUUUAUAAUUUUCUAUUUUACCACAGUUUCUCUCUGCAUUUUUCCUCUUUGACCACUAACCAUGUGAAAUUCUCAUAUUGACCUUUAUAAUGAUCAUGAACUCUUAGUAUCAUUGGGAAGGCCACAUUUGCCACUUAUGAUUGUAAACCUUAUCCUCCAUUUUUCCUGUUAUUGUUGGUGCAAAAAGCACCUAUUAUACCAGGACUUUAAAAAUCAGUCUGAUAAGUCUUUGAUAAGUCUAAUAAUAAUAACUGAUAAGUCCAUUGAAUUUGCUUCUGAUUACUUUUUCUUUAGUAGCUAAACAUGUAUGUACUCCUAUGAUUACAAUGAACACUCCUCUCCAUUUAAAUUAAUUAUUUACAUUGAUGAAAUAGCAAAAUGUUAAUGACUAAAUACUGUCUUGGUUUUUUCGUUCCAGGUCAGUCAAUAUUAACUUCUUAUAAUUUUCUUUUUUUUCUUUAUGUGUGUGUGUGUGUGUAUUUUUUUUUUUUUAAUUUCAAUGGCUUUUGGGGUACAAAUGGCUUUUGGUCAUAUAGAUGAAUUCUACAGUAGUGAAGUCUGAGAUUUUACUGCACCGGUCACCUGAGUAGUGUACAUUGUACCCAAUAUGUGGUUUUUUAUACCUUGCCCCCCUCUUACCCUCCCCACUUUGAGUCUCUAGUGUCCAUUAUGUCACUCUGUAUACCUUUUUGUACCCAUAAGUUAGCUCUCACUUAUAAGUGAGAACACACAGUAUUUGGUUUUCCAUUCCUGAGUUGCUUCACUUAGAAUAAUAUCCUCCAGCUCCAUCCAAAAUUGCUGCAAAAAAAAAAAAAACCACAAACAUUAUUUUGUUCUUUUUUAUUGCUAAGUCAUAUUCCAUGGUGUAGAGAUACCACAUUUUAUUUAUCCACUCACUGGUUGAUGGGUUGGUUCCACAUCUUUGCAAUUGUGACUUGUACUGCCAUCAAGUGUCUUUCUGGUAUAAUGACUUCUUUUCCUUUGGGUAGAUACCCAGGAGUGGGAUUGCUAGAUCAAAUGGUUCUUAACAUUUUCUCUCUGGAUCUAUUUCUGGAAAUUUUAGGCUCCAGUUUUUGUUGUUGUUGUUAAUAAAAUGCAAUGGAAUGUAAUGAUCAUCACUUUUCAUUAUGCUUUAAAAUCUGGUAAAUGGAGGCUAGAACACUCCUGUAAGGCAAGAAUAUUCUCUCUGUUGGAACUCAAAUACACAGAACUGGGUAAAUCUCAAUCUUAAUCUUUGAUUCAGGACACAACAUGGCUCUCUUUUACUUGCUUUCUUUAAUUGUUUUUUAAUAAUGUGGUAAGCAUUUCUGAAUCUCCUAUCCAAUACAAAAACUAGGACAAUACAGACAGUAACUCCUAUGGUUACAAUGAACACUCCUCUCCACUUAAAUUAAUUAUUUACACUGAUGAAAUUGAAAUAGCAAAAUUUUAAUGACUAAAUACUGUCUUUGAUUUUUUGUUCCAGGUCUGUCAAUAUUAACUUCUUAUAAUUUUCUUUUUUUUUCUUUAUGUGUGUGUGUGUGUGUGUAUAUAUAUAUAUUUAAUUUCAAUGGCUUUUGGGGUACAAAUGGCUUUUGGUCAUAUAUAUGAGUUCUACAGUAGUGAAGUCUGAGAUUUUACUACACCUUCCACUUAUGUGGUCCCACACCACCCGCCUCCCCUGCCGCCUCCUGCCACCCCCUAGGCCAAGGUAAUAAUCAUCCUGAAUCCUGGGUUUAUCUCUCACUUGCUUUCUUUUCAUAUAAUUUUGCAAAAGAAUCUGAUCUAAAUGUGUUUUUCAGAGUAUAUAUUUAUAUUUUAGCUGUUCUUAGAGAAAAUUUAUUAUUUUGCAUGUAAUCUUAUGGAACAUUCUCAUUUAAUACCAUGGUAAGAUUCAGCCCUUGCCCAGGGGAUAGUUCAUUUAGUUUGUUUACUGGAUAGAGCUCAUCAUGUGACUAUACCUCAGUUAGUUUAUCAGUUCUCCCAUCCAUGGUGACUAGGUUGCCUCUCAGCCUCUCAACAACACUGUUUCUCAGUGUCCUUGUAGAAGUGAUAUGUGGGUGUUUUCUCCUUACACAGAGUUGAAAGGUGACGACAACAACGUUGGCACUACCAAUCCCCCACCCUCCAGAGGGGUAACCAGUGUUACCAGUUUGCUGUGUUUCCUGCUACACCUCGCCUUAUUCACUUCCAUUUGUAUCUGAAAAACGUGUUGCAUGGUUUCUUUUCUAUAGAAGUGGUAAAAUGCUAUUGUGUCCUGUACAUUAUUGAUUACUUUUUUUCAUUUAACAGUAGGGAGAUGCCUGGGAGUACACAGAGAACUGCCCUCAUUGUUUUCAACUUCUGCACUGUAUGUCUGUGAGUUUAGCCAUUCUGCUGUUAAUGGAAAUUUACAGUAUUCUAAUCUUUUGAUAUUACAAACAGUUCUGUGCGAUCAUCGUCAUACACAACCCCUUGUGCACAAUGCAUGAGUGUUUCUCAGGGUAGGUACCAAGAAGUGAAAUUCCUGGGUCAUAGGGCGUGAGUCCGACAUUUUUCUCCAUUCUGCCCUGUUGCCCUCCAGAGUGGGUGUCCAGCUUUGCAUACCUAAGUAUGAGAGUAUCUGUUGUUCAUAUCCUCUACGACGCUCCAUAUAUGAAACUUAAGUUUCUGCUAGUUGCCAUCUUUGAUCUAUCAUGUAUGCAGUGACCUACUAAGACUGUAAUUGGUACAGUAGAUUCUUGUCAUCUGUGUGUGAAUUUAGCAUUCAUGGGCUUAAUGCUGACAAGGCCCCCAGGGUCCAAGACAUAUAAUCAUGUAUAAUUUUGUCAAGGUAUAAUUUUUUAAAUUGCUUUUGUCAUGUGUCUGCUGGUGAUGCCCAACCCAGUGCUCUGCACCCAGGUCACACUGUGGCUUUGUCCUCUGCUUAUGCCUGCAUUGCAGCAACUGUCCUGAAGAGACCAAAAUUAUGCAGAUUUAGGUAAGUCCAUGGCUAAUGUUAUUAUAUUAUGUGCUAUUGUAAUGGAUGGGGCUGUGGAGUGUAUGAAUUUAUAAAUCACUGGUCUUGUAAUUAAAAUUCAAACACUAUAGAAAAAGGCCAUGUAGAAGAUAAAAGUUCCUCUAUAAUCCCGGACCCCUAAGAUAACUACUAAUGACAACUUCAUUUAUAUUCCUUCAGACAUUUUCUGGCUGUGGAUGUACUAAAAUGUAUCCUAUUAUUCUCUGCCCUAAAAUGGAAUCAUACAAGGUGUACUGUUAUUUUUAUGGCUCUAUAACAUGUCAUAUUGUACGUGUUGGUAUGGUCAUUUUAACCAUUUUUCUAGUGAUGGCUUUGAGGUUAUUUGCAGUUUCCUAGCCAUCUCAAAGUGUGCUGCGGGGAUCUCUUUUGCAUCCCUCUGGGUGCAGAGCUGAGGCACCCAGAGGCAGUGUCCAGAGGAGGCAGCAUCUGUAGGUGUCUUCACCUGCUCUGGCUCUUGGCACAUCUGGUUGGUGACACUGUUUUGUGAGAUGGGUUGAAAGCACGUGCUGCCAAAAUAGAAUAAUGUUGGUCCUCUCCUCAUGUGCCGUGGAACUGGGGUAAAACUGCGUAGUGGCUGCAGCUGCCUGUCCAUACCGGAAUCGAGUAUAACACGGUGCCUGGCUUAGCACAAAACAGUAGUGGGUCCUGCAGGCCCCAGAGUCUAAUUCCUGGUAUUCUUUCCCCUACACAGAUUAAAUAAACCAAAAACAAACUAUUCUAGGAAAGCGUCUGUGACAUUUGUAAAAAGUGGUAUUUAAUGAUCUUUUAUUCACUUGUCUGUUUAGUUUGUUGAAAUCUUAAGUGGCAUCCUGGUCUGGGAAGGAGUGCUGUCUGCGCCUGCCCUCCGCUGGGCACAGCGUGGCUGCUUCAGGGGCUAAGCACACACUUUCUGUCUUCUAAAGGGCCGCCACAUGCCAGGAGCUCAGGUGUGAGCCCGGCUCUGGCUCUUACCUCAUAGGGUCACUCAUAGGGGCACAGGGAGCAGAACAUUGUACACAGCGAGGCACCACCCGGCUUGGCAUCUGCCUCGGUGGACUUACUACCUCUAGAAGGAAAUACCUGAGUUCCUCUGGCCUCAGCUCCUAGAGUGACUGGUGUGCUGUCCCUGUUACUCUUCUGUCAAGGUGACAACUGUGUGACCCAUCAUCUGUGUGUCAAAGCAAGGCCCUGCCUGGGCCUCUGCUCCUGUGCUGACCCCAAAGGCAAAUGCUUUGCUAGUUUCCUUCCAGUUAAUUUCACCUAUGAAUAGAUGUGUGAAAACUGUUCAAAGCCAUACCUGCACAUGUUUGAACUUCAAACCCUGUGGGUGAUUCAGUGGCAUCUUUCUCUAACCCCCAGCCUCCCUUCCCACAGAGGCCACCGUCAUGGCCAGUUGCUGCAGUUUCUUUCCAGAGAACCUGUGUAUGUGUAAAGCUGUACAGGCGUGGGUACACCACACAGCCUGUCUUGCACUGUGGACUGUUGAGUUACUAGUACAUCUAGGUAAGCACCGCAUAUCUGUAUUCAUGUCUGCCUUGGUCUUUUCAACAUCUGUGUGGUAGCCGUGUUUGAAUUACCCAUUCCCUUUUUGGGGAACCAUUAAGUUGUUUCAGCAAUUUUUACUGUAGAUAAGGCUAUACCGCAUAUCUGUGUACAUGGGUUUUUAUGUACAUGGGCAAGUAUAUCUGUGAGAGAAAAGUUUCCUCAGGAGGAAUUCUGGGCACAGCAUGUGUAAAUUUCUAAAUAUGAUGGACACCCCCAGCUUCCACCUCAAGGAGGUUGGUCCCAUUGACAUUUCCCCACACCUUCACCCAGGCUGUGCCCUUAAACUUGGUUAUUUGUCAAUGUGAGAAGUGGAAAAUAGUAUUUAAUUGUAGUUUGGAUUUGUAUUUCUAUUGGGUUGUAUACUUACUGAUUAAUAAUAAGAGCUCUUUACAUAUUAAGGAAAUUAACCCUUUUCAAAUACAUUCCUAUUUCUCACUAAUCUUUAAGUUUUAUUGUAAUAUUUUGCUCUUUAGUUUAUAUAUAUAUGUAUAUAUAUAUAUAUGUAUAUAUAUAUAUAUACAUAUAUAUAUACAUAUAUAUAUACUAAUUUUCUUUUAUGGUUCCUGGAUUUUGUGAGUAGUUUGAAAAGGCUAAUCCAGCUGAAGAUUUUGUUGUUGUUGUUAAACCCCAUGUUUUCUCCUAACUCUUUUUAUUUUUAUUUUGGAGGACUCUAUCUAGACUUAAUUUUAGCAUAACAAGUGACAGGGUUAGUUAGCCUGUUGUCCUUACACCAUUUUCUGGCUAAUACAGCUAUUAACUAUUGAUCUGUCUAUUCACGUGCCAGUUCCUAAUGGUUUUACAUAGUGUAAUCUGCACUUCAAAAUAGCGAAGGGAAGCCCUACCUCAUUAUUCUACUUUUCCAGAAUUCUCCUGGCUAUUCCAGGCUGCAUGUUUACCUUAACCUUCCCUGUGAUGUCUUCAUGCCGUUGUCUUCUUAUGCAAGAAUAAGGUACGUCUUUCCAUCCACUCACGUCUAUUUAAUUUGACUUUGCAUUACACAGAAAGCUGGUCUUGGUCUGUCUACCUCGGCAUCUAGUUGUCCUCACUGCCCCCUAGCCGACCCCACCCCAUCUGACUGACUACCCCAUCACAGAGUACUUUUAUUUACGUUUUGCUCUGCCUAAUGGUUACUUGAUACUGUCACGCCGACAGUGUCCAGUUCAGUGGUCUUUGCAGUUGAAAUGCUCCCGUACACACUGUCUUGUUAAAAAUGCCAGUAAGUUCAUACAAACCCAGCUUGCACCCAAGGUCACAUUCAGAGAGCGUAGGGCUGGGAUGGGUUGUUUUCCAAGCUUCUGCCACUGUGUGGCUAGCUCUUCCCACUGGGAAGUUCUGUGUACCCGGAAUGUCGGAGUGGAGUCCUGUUCUAGUGUCCAGCACCUGACCCUGUGCCCAACCCCUCAACAGCCUAUUCCUGCUGUCCACAGCCUGCUGGAACUUUUUACAAAAUAUGUUGCCAUGCUGGACCCUGGGCACUGGACAUAAGCCCCCUGGCAGCCUUUUUCAUGUCACCCAAAGGGGUAAUUGUCCUACUGGUGGUCUGUAAGAUGAGUUAGGGUGACUUGCUAAUAGACAUUGUAAAUCUUAAUAUUUAUGUAUGUAUUUUAUUAUUACCGGUUUUCCAUUUAUGAUGGUAAUAUUGUUUCUUCUAAGAAUAUUUAUUUUUCCUUCUAAAUAUUGAGAUAAAAUUCAUGCUUUUGAAAUGUUCUAUUCAGUGGCUUUUAGUAUAUUUGCUAUGUUGUGCAACCAUCGACACUAUCCAUUUCUAGAACUUUUUCGUCAUCCCAAACAGACGCUCUGUAUUCAUAAAAAAAUAACUUCCUACCUGUCUCUCCCCCUAGUCUUUGGUAACCUUUGUUAUACUGGUAAACUUUGUUGUGCUCUCUGUCUGUGUGAAUUUGCCUAUUCUAGGGGCCUCAUAUAAGUGUAAUCAUACAGUAUUUGUCUUUUUGGGUCUGUCUGAUUUCACUUAGCGGGUUUUCAGGGUUCAUUCAUGUUGCAGCAUAUAACAGUACUGCGUUCCUUUUUCUGGCUGAAUAAUAUUCCACUGUAUGGAUAGACCCCAUUUUGUUUAUUCACACAUCAUUUGGACAUUUGGAUUAUUUCUGGUUUUUGGCUAUUAUGAACAAUGGUGCUAUGAACAGUUGCGUACAAGUUUUUGUGUGAACAUAUGUUUUCAAUUCUCUCAUUAUAUACCUAGGAGUAGAAUUACUGGGUCAUAUGGUAACUGUAUAUUUUUGAGGAACUGCCAAACUAUUUUCCCACGUCCAUGCACCAUUUCACAUUCCCACCAGUAAGUAAGAGGGUUCCAAUUUCUGCGCAUUCUUGCCAACACUAGUUAUUAUCUGACUUUCUGGUUAUAAUCAUUCUAAUGAGUGUGAAGUAGCCUCUGGUGUCAUUUGGAUUUGCAUUUCUCUGAUGAGUGAUGCUAUCAAGCACCUUUGCUGGUGCUGUUGGCCAUAUGUGUAUGUUCCCUGGAGAAGUGUCUGUGCUGAGCCUUGGCCCACUUUUUAAUUAGGCGUUUGUCUUUUUAUUACUGAGUUGUAAGAGUUCUUUAUAUAUUCUGGAUUCUAGACCCUUAUCAGAUACAUGGUUUGCAAAUAUUUUCUCCCAUUCUGUGGGUUGUGUUUUCACUUUAUCGAUAAUGUCCUUAGACAUAUAAUAAAUUUGUAUUUUAAAAGUGACUUGAUUUGGCUGUGCAAGGUGGCUCACGCUUGUAAUCCCAGCACUUUGGGAGACUGAGGUGGGUGGAUCAUAUGAGGAGGCUAGGAGUUCGAGGUCAGCCUGGCCAGCAUAGCGAAAACUUGUCUCUACUAAAAAUACAAAAAUUAGUCAGGCAUGGUGGUGCACGUCUGUAAUACCAGCUUCUCAGGAGGCUGAGGCACGAGGAUCACUUGAACCCAGGAGGAGGAGGUUGCAGUGAGCUGAGAUCAUGCCAGGGCAACAGAAUGAGACUUUGUUUAAAAAAAAAAAAAAGUGACUUGAUUUAAGGGAAAAAAUGACUGGCUAUAUUCAGUCAGAUAUGGCAAAAAGUCUCAAGGUGUUAAUGUGAAUGAUUAAGGUCUUGGGGGGGGUGUCCCCUAUCAGACUACAGGUGUUUAGAGGCACAGAAAAAGGUGCAGUUGGGUUCUUAAUGUGAAAUGAUGAGAAGCACAACUCCAGUGUGUCUCUUUGUGUAGAAUGUCAGCAGACACCCCCUGCUAGAUGUGCUGGAUCAUGGGAAAGCAUUUCCAUUUGUUACUAGAUUGUUCAGAAGUUUUAAUUUAUGAUGGGUGUGGUGGCUCAUGCCUGUAGUCCCAGCACUGUGGGAGGCUGAGGCAGGAGGAUCAUCUGAGGCCAAGAGUUCAAGAUCAGCCUGGGCAACAUAGUGAUACCCUAUCUCUUAAAAAAGAAGAAGUUUUUAAAUUUGAAAUAAUAAUAGGUACUGGAUUUAUGCAAAUGUCUUUUCUGCGUCUUUUGAGAUGAGUAUCAGGUUUUUUUUUUUCCUUUUAUCAUCUGAUGAUGAACUUAAUGUUUCCAUUUGUAUUAAUGGAAUACUAAGUCCCUCUGUGAUUUCUGAACCAAGCUAUUCCUAGGCCUGAGUUUUAUUUUGUUGACACAGAAAUAAAUUAGAAGGCCAAGCGUGGUGGCAUGUGCCUGUAGUCCUAGUUGCUGAGGUAAGAGGAUUGCUUGAGCCCAGGAGUUCAAGGCUGCAGCAAGCUUUGAUUGCGCCACUGCACUCCAGCCUUGGCGACAGACUAAGACGCUGUCUCAAAAAAAAACAAAAACGACAAAAAAAAAACAAAACAGAAAAAAUAAACUAAGGCAAUGACAGUCCCUGGCAAAUGCUGGGAGGGAGGCAGCAGUGGUCAGGGAAGGUAACCCUGAAGCAGGACUUGUAAAGCAAAUAAGAUUGGGAGGCCAAGGUGGGUGGAUCACGAGGUCAGGAGUUCGAGACCAGCCUGGCCAACAUAGUGAAACCCCGUCUUUACUAAAAAUACAAAAAAAUUAGCCAGGUGUGGUGGUGGGUGCCUGUAGUCCCAGCUACUUGGGAGGCUGAGGCAGGAGAAUCUCGAACCCAGGAGGCGGAGGUUACAGUCAGCUGAGACCGCACCAUUGCACUCCAGCCUGGGUGACAGAGCAAGAUUCCGUCUCAAAAAAAAAAAAAAAAAAAAAACCAAGAAGAAAAGGAAUGAAUUAGAACUUCUUCUGCUUGGACUUAAGGGCAUCAUCAGGCAGGUUUUGGGUAGGAUAGCAGGGGAGGCAGAGACAUAGUCGGGGUCAGUGGUCAUGAGUGUGGCUUUGAGCCCAAAAACUUGGUUUCUGUUCCCUACUUUGCCACUCAGUAGUGCAUGACUUUGGCCAAAUUUCUUAAAUUCAUGAAGCAAGUUUCCGGGUGAAUGAAAUGGGGAUAAAAAUAGUGUUCAAACCUAUCCGUUGGUUUGUGUGAAACUGAAAUGAAUAGUAUCGUGCAGGUACUUGUGAGCAAGGGGAGCUGCUGUUUCCUGUCCCUUUAUGAUGGGAAAUAUCUAGACAAGUUCCCAACCCUCUGCACUGCAGGCUGCAUGGCACGGAGGGUCUUGUAACACCAGCUGGGGCUGGCCUUCUUUUAGGAGCUUCAGUGGUUCUGAAAACUUUUAUUUGUUUGUUUGUUUUAGUAGAUGUGGGGUCUUUCUGUGUUGCCCGGACUGGUCUCAAACUUCUGGACUCAAGUGAUCCUCCCCCGCUCAACCUCCCAAAGUGUUGGGAUUACAGGUGUGAGCCACUGUGCCCAGCCUUGAAAACUUUUUCAGGUUCUUCCAGGGUUACUGGGCUAUUAAAUAUUUCUAUUUCAUUAUAAGUCAGUUUUUCAAAGUUAUAUUAUCUUAAUUACCUUUUUUAUAUGUAUUAGUGUAGAGUAGCAUUUUAUAUUUUGAUAUCCUCCUUAUGCAUAGUUUUUCACUUUUUAUUCCUAGUUUUUCGUUUUUAAUAAGACUUUCAAGAAAUUUAUUUUAUUGGCCUUUUGAAAAAAGCAGCUUUAGAUAAAGUAAGCAGUUCUGCUUUCAUUUUAUAAUUUAUUUCUACUUUUGUUUCAUUAAUCUUUUCCUCCGGCAUGCCUUGGAUUUUGUUGUGUUACUCUUUUUCUAGAGGCUCGCAUUGUGUGUCUGGUUCACUUAUGAUCACGCUUGCCUACUUUUAAGAAUGGAAGAGGGGAGGUGGAGGGUGGCUGCACAGUCGAGGGUGUGAGGCAGUCUUGCUCUAGCCCCACCAUGCCCUCAGCCCGCUGUGGCCACGCUGGUUCCUCAAUUGCUGGGGCGUGCAGUGUCUGUAAGGGAGGCUACUGAUGCCAUCCGAGGAAGAUGUAAGGUUUCGUGUGGGCAGCGAGAGCCUAGCAGGCAUGUGGGGUGCCCAGCAAAGGGUAACAGUGGACAGUUGUUGCCUCAUUCCACAGAGUUUUGAUUUUUUUUUUUUUUUUAAUGGUCACUCCAUCAACAUCCCCCAUGGCCAGAGCCUGAGCUGGUCCCCAGAGACACAGGCAUUCAGCUGACAGCCUCGCCUUCACGCUGCUGCUGUUCUCAUGGGGGACAGGCCUCAGGUGGCAAUGCACAAAUCAUUAGUUAAGGGCAGUUGUGACAGUUACCAAGGAGUGUAGUCCCCCGCCCCCCGCCCAGUGAAAACAGCCCUAACCAGGGGUGGGGACCUUUGGGCUCUGACCCGAAGGGUAGGAGAAGCUGGAAGGACAGCAUUCCUGUCUGCGAAGGCAGGAGCAAAGCUGCCAGGCUAUGAAGGAAAUGGCUGGAGCCUGAAGUCAUGCAAGCUGGGGCUGGCAGGGACAGGGCCAACUUCCAGGCCUGGGGGCCACCAUGAGGAUUCAGGACGUGACCCCCAGGGCACAUGAAGGCCUUCCAUCUGUAUUUAAGAAAAGACUUUAUCAGACGAGUAUGGUGGCUCACGCCUGAAUCUUAGCACUUUGGGAGGCUGAGGCAGGUGGAUCACGAGGUCAGGAGUUCAAUACCAGCCUGGCCAAUAUGGUAAAACCCCAUCUCUACUAAAACUACAAAAAUUAGCCAGGCAUGGUGGCGCACGCCUGUAGUCCCAGCUACUCGGGAGGCUGAGGCAGAAGAAUCACUUGAACCCGGGAGGUGGAGGUUACAGUGAGCCAAGAUCGCGCCACUACACUCCAGCCUGGGUGACAGAGUGAGACUCCGUCUCAAAAAAACCAAAAGACUUUAUCUUAUUUCCUAUAUGUUUGUGGUUUCAGUCCUGAUGUAUAAUUUGACCCUAGUUAGAAUGGUUAUCUGAGGAAGUGGCCUGUACGAUUUCUGCUUUUUUAAAUGUGUGGCUCCCUUUCUUCAUUGAUUAACGUAUGAUUAUUUUUAUAAAUGUUCCAUGGCAGUGGGAAGGGAUUCUCUGUCACAUUCCACAUCUGGAUCAGUUCCUCCCCAUUUUGUUGGUCAAAUCCGAUCUGCCAUAUCCUGUGUAAUGACAAGUGAGUUGCAUUCUCACCGUCACUCCUGGGGUCUCUCCGCUUCCCCUGAGCUGGCUCAGCAGUCUGCUCCAUGUGUUUUGAUGCAGGGUGACCCAUUGGUAUUCCCGACACUAACGCCCCCGUCUGUGGACUGCUUGCUGCUUGGGCUUCACUGUGUCUGGUGUUGACAGUGCAGACCUAAAGGUGUGCACACAUGUGCACACACACUCCGCUGUCUUCUUGUUUGCACUGGACUUAAAUAUCUAUGAGGGUUAUUUUCAACUGCUGAAUUUGGAAUGAUUUUUAUAUCUUUUCUGCUUUCUGCCCAUGUACAUGUGUUUAUUUUACACUGUUGUGAUUGGUAGUUACUAUGUGGGGACACAAUUACUUGGGCUGAAAUAAUCCACCUGUUGUGGUUGGGGUCCUCUGGGGCAUUCCAGGGUGAGAGGUUGUCACUGCCACCUGGGCCAUGUGGGCCGGCACCAGCAUUUUGUGGUUACGAAUUCUACAGUCACAAAUAUCUUUGGGCAAAUCCCCUUCUAUACCUCAAGGCAGCUUUUGGUUUGCAACCCCACUGGCCAGAGGGAAGGGCCAGUCACUUGGCUCUCUCACUGCCCUGCGCCCCAGAUGGUUCUAGGGCUGCUGUUUUCCCUUGGCCCUGCCAACACCACUGUUUUUACUUCUGCUCAUUGGCUGAGUGCAGUGGUUCCUGGAAGCCAGUGGCACGUUUCCCCGCGUAGCUCGCUUAUCCCACAGCACACACCCAAGGGUUCUGUUGCUAACACGCUGAAUUAAUUCUUUGCUCAUCUUACAGAGUGUGUUUUGACUGCCCCCAUUUCUGAGGCCUUGUAAGGCCAGAGCUUUGUUGCUUCAUCGGCAGGUUGGGACUUAGAUGGCCGUGAAUGUUUCCUCUCUGCUGCUGCAGUAAGUAAGUGCCCGCACCAUAGUGUGUUUGGAGGCUGAAGUUGAAGCGAGGCUGUGAGGGGAGAUGGACGUGUGAGGAGGGAUGAUGGGGCUUGAGCAAAGUGGGGGAGGGGGCAAAGGCAGUUGGCCCAACACAUUCCCCACCCCUUUGAGAGGUCUGAGGCCUGCAGACCUGGCUCGGAGCCCACCUGGUAGUCCUCAGACUGUGUGUGUGUGUGUGUGUGUGUGUGUGUGUGUGUGUGUGUGUGUGUGUGUGUGUGUGUAAAAGAGAGAAGUUGUGGAGAAAUGGGGGGCUGAUUCUGCUCAGAUUCAUCAGGAUGAGUAGAAGGCACCCAGCUCUCACCCUGGCCUGACAUGUGUGUCCCUGAGCAGGUUACAGUCCUCUCUGAGCCUCUGCUUCCCAUCUGGACCCUGCUGGGCAGGGCUUCUGAGCUCCUUAGCACUAGCAGGAGGGGCUCCAGGGGCCCUCCCUCCAUGGCAGCCAGGACAGGACUCUCAAAUGAGGACAGCAGAGCUCGUGGGGGGCUCCCACGGACCCGCCGUGGGCCCAGGGGAGGCAGAGCCUGAGCCAACAGCAGUGGUGCUGUGGACCGUGGAUCCUGAGGGUGGCCUGGGGCAAGUACCGGCUGAGGGUCCAGGUGGGCUUUGUGUACCUUUGGGUCCUGGGGCCCUGGUGACUUGGACUCCAGGUUAGAGUCAAGUGACAGGAGAAAGGCUGGUGGGGCCCUGUGCUUCCGACUUCAUUUCGAGUGAUGGCAGUUCCCAGGAAGGAAUCCACAGCUGACGGUGGCUGACAGAUCAGAGAAUGGAAGGCGAGGCAGGCGGGCGUCUGCGUGACCUCAGGUGCUUGGGGCCCAGCAGACCCAGAGAACCAUUUCCACUAGGCCAGGGUGCCGGAAGUGUCCACAGGUCUUAGAUUCCCUGUUCAGAUGAAAAGAUUUGUGCCUUUAAUGAUAAAAGUGAUCUGCAUAGAGUCAAAAAUUCAAGCCAUGGGUAUAAAAUGCAAGUAAAAUCCCUGCCCUCACCUAUCCCACCCUACUACACAGAGAUGUCCUCUCGAGUUUCCUAGACUCACUCUGGAAAUUUCUGUAUACACACAGAAGCUUGUGCCUCUGCUCGUGAAGGCAGAGGGAGGGAGAGCUGAAGGGCCAGCACCUUCUCACCUGUGGGCCCCCUCAGUGCUCGGUCCCAGAGCAUGCAGGACUGUGCCUCGUGUUCAGUUUGCUGGUCUGACUUCAUGCUCCUUGGGCAGGAUAUGCAUGUGCCAUGCUAGGAGACAUGUGGAUGUGAAGCUGGGGGACAAUGUCCCCUGGCUAUGCCUUUACAAGGGAAGUAAGGAAGGUAGGAGGUGAGCCUGGGAGGGAGGGAGGGAGGCGCGGAGCCGCCGCAGGUGUUUCUUUUACUGAGUGCAGCCCAUGGCCGCACUCAGGUUUUGCUUUUCACCUUCCCAUCUGUGAAAGAGUGAGCAGGAAAAAGCAAAA
rnacentral:lncRNA from 1 species